CCACAAGCGAAUGACGCACGAGUCAUGUGUUGUUUGUGCUGUGCUCCGUAGUGUACACAGGGCGCGAGGAGCAGAUUGGUAGCCCGCUAGGAGGAUCUACCGAUAAUAGAUCGGGUAAAUGUGGUCAUGUUGCAGUUGCUGGCAUUGAGUUCUAGGAGCAUUGGCUGGGAUAUCUGCUUUUCAUGUGGCGGCCGAGAGAAGCGCAACACUAAAAAGAGGGCUGGAGACACGCGCCGCUUGAGACACGGUUCCCCCCAAACAAACAUGGGGUCUCGGUCUAAAAGUAUGAGGUAAAGUGACCUUAAAUCUCUUAUCUGAUGGCAAAUUUCGCGAACUACCAAGACGACAAAGCCACUAUGUUGAUGCUGGAAACGCAACAGCGGGCUAUCGGGACUAAACCUGCAGCUGCAACGGCGAACGGCGACACCGCUGUCGGGGAACCCCCUUCCGUACUAGAUGUCGGCGGCGCUGCUUUUCAUCAACAGAGUGAUCAACAUCAACAGCACCUGGAAUCACCGGCGAGGAAAGGAUCCACGUCCUCUCUUAACCGGGCGCAAGAGGACUCUGCUGCGAGCAACACACACGCUACCUCAGCUUCCCCUGCUGUGAACACCAGCUCCGCUGUGUCGGACGAAAUUAGGAAGUGCGGCUAUCUGAGAAAGCAGAAACAUGGCCAUAAGAGGUUUUUCGUCUUGCGGGGGUCGAGUCAUCUGGGGCCGAGCAGACUGGAAUAUUACGACAGCGAGAAGAAAUUCCGAAACACCCUGCGCUCGAGCGCUGCUGCUGCCGCCGCCUCAGCUGGCGCCUCUCCCCCCAAAAGAGUGAUCUAUCUCUACCAGUGUUUCACUGUGAAUAAAAGGGCGGAUUCAAAGAAUAAACAUCUCAUUGCUCUGUAUACUAAGGAUGAAUACUUCGCGAUUGUCGCUGAGAAUGAGCAGGAGCAGGAGGAGUGGUACCAGGCACUCAGCGAGCUUAUGAGUGAGGGGAAGAGGGGCCACCUGGACGCGGAAGAAAUUGACGAUGGAUAUGGUACUGUGACCCCGGGGACUGACUUUAAGGAAGUGUGGCAGGUAAACGUUAAACCAAAGGGCUUGGGCCAGACAAAGAAUCUAAGUGGUGUGUAUAGGCUCUGUCUGUCUGCCAAAAGCAUCCACCUGGUGAAGCUGAACUCUGAGACUCCUUGCGUAAACUUGCAGCUGAUGAAUAUCAGACGCUGUGGCCAUUCGGAGAGCUUCUUUUUUAUUGAGGUUGGCCGCUCUUCUUCAAUAGGACCUGGGGAGGUUUGGAUGCAGGUGGAUGAUUCUGUGGUGGCUCAGAACAUGCAUGAGACCAUUCUAGAGACCAUGAAAGCGCUGAAGGCAUUUGCCGAGUUUAGACCCAGAAGCAAAAGCCAGUCUUCUGGCACCAACCCGAUGGGCUUCAUCACCACGCGGCGACAUUUGGGCAACCUCCCGCCCAGUCAAACAGGACUCCAGCGGCGCUCUCGGACAGAGUCUGUGGUGGGCACUCAGUCUAGCAGGAAGAGCAGUGGAGCGAACGGAUACCGAUUCCGCACCUCCAGCGAGGGAGAGAGCACGAUGAACCGUCCCUUUCGCUCAGUGACAGGUAGCCUUAUUCAUCUCAACACAGCCCGUGCUAACCUGAGCCGGCAGGAAAGUAGCAGUGGGGCCGGGGCCCGCUACAUUCGUGCCCCACCAGGCUCCGCUUAUCAUGCCCGUUCAGCCUCGCUGCCAGUGUCACACUUCCCUUCAACCACCAGUCCGAUCAGCAUGUCUAGCAGCAGCGGGCAUGGCUCUGUGUCAGACACUAUCACUCGCCCCUCCAGUGCGUCCAUUUGUGGAUCCCCAAGCGAUGGAGGUUUCAAUUCAUCUGACGAGUAUGGCUCCAGCCCUGGGGACUUCCGCUACUUCAGAGUACGCAGCAACACCCCAGACUCCCUGGGAAACACACCACCCAUCCGUGAGGAGCACUGCCUCAAUGACUACAUGGCUAUGGGCUGGAAUCGCGACGUGUUCGGAACGAGCGCGGCUGAGGCAACCCGAGAUGAGAGUGCUGAUGAAGAUUCACGACCGGGGUCGUUAAGAAGGCGGACGCCCUCCUUCUCCAGGCAGGUUGGGGGCGCUAGUGCUGCUGGAGUAGCUGUUUAUCAAAAGAUGACCCAGACCACCUUCUCGCUGGACGAGGCUGUGGCUGAGAGUAGCUCUUGGAGCGGCAGUGCCCAGACUGUCUCUACCUCCUCCUCCCUCUGCUCUGACUACAGCUCCAGUUCUGAACACAGCCAGGACCGGCCCCCUAGCCUACGGCCUGCUGACGCACCUAAGGAUGAUGGGUACAUGCCCAUGAUGGCAGGUGUGCUGCCCUCCACUAGUGAUGCAGACUACAUGCCUAUGCAACCAAAUAUCUUCUCCUCUGCCUCUCCACAAGUCAAAAGUGCUGCUCUAAAUGUUCCCCAGCACGUGGACUCUCAAGGCUACAUGAUGAUGCUCCCAGGUAGGAGUGGCGCUACUGACUCCCCCCUCCCUUCCAGCCCUGUCAUUAGCAGACUAGCAGAGGGACAGAGAGCCUCUGACUGCCCCAAGAAUGCAGAAUAUAUGGAUAUGUCUCAGAGCAGCUCCACAGCUAAUGCUCAAAAGGUUUCUGCUGAGAAUUAUUAUGCCUUGACCACUCCUGGUGUCCCCAAGUCCUACAGUCCAUAUUUCUCCCUUCCUCGCUCAUACAAAGCUCCAUCCAGAGACCACGCUGAGCAUGAUGAUUAUGUUCCCAUGAGUUCCCCAGCGAAACCAGUCUACAUCUUGCCCACAGCCACCCCAGAUCGCAGUAGCAGGUGCCCACCUUCUGAGUCCUCUCAGCAUAAUAGCUUCACGGACCGCCGUGCCAUUCGGCCGAAUCGUCUGCCCCUGGGAAGGCGAAGUUUGCACGGCUCUCUGCGAGCAGGUGAAGCGCCAGUGCGGCCUUCCAGCCCUGGAGAGUACAUAAAUAUUGAAUUUGGGGAUCGGCCCACAUAUUCUGCCUGCCCGUUGUCUGCUGAAGGCUCCCCCUCAACCCUCAGUAUUAACCGGGAGCAGCGUAAGUCCCCUCUGCCGCAGGACUACAUGACUGUCGAGGUGGAUGGCCUUCCACCAAAGAGUCGGUCCCCUCGGCCCUCUCUGGUGGCCCCCUGGAAUCCUCCUUCAUAUAUACGGCCCUCCUCAUCCUCCCACUGCAGCGGCCUCGUGGUGGGUAAACCUGACGACUACACAGAAAUGUCCUUUGGGCCUGAUGAUGAGUCGAAGAGCCCUACAGCCAUGCUUGAGCACCUGUGUGUUCUGGAGCAACAGUUUUUCCCCUUCACCCCACCGACUGAGCCCAAAGUUGUCCGUGCUGAUCCCCAGGGCAGGCGGAGACACAGUUCGGAGACCUUUGUCACAUCUUCGGGAGCAUCAGGUGGAAGUGGCCCGGACACCAAUGGCACUGUACCUAGCAAUGGUGGGGCUCAGCAGGUGGGCCGCAACAAGGGGCAAAACUUUGACUGCGUUUGGUUUGAUGGCAUGACAUCCAGUAGUGAUGUAACGCUGGGAACCACAUCAGAUAGAGCCAAUACUCCCUCUGUGAGGUCUGCAAGGACUAUAACUGUGGAACACCAGAAUGGCCUGAACUACAUCGCCCUAGACCUGAGAGACGAUCUCCGGCCUGGGAACGCUCAUGAUGCGCUUCCCUUGCCAUCCUCCAGCGCUCCUCCCCCAGAGAAUGGUGCCUAUGCCAGCAUAGAUUUAAUGAAGUCUGAGGGGCUUACAGCAGUGACUAAAGGGGCUGCUAUGUACUUGGCUGAGUGUGUGUUGCAGCAGGGGGAGUGAGAGAAUGCAGCGUUAGUGAGUCAGUGUUCUCAGCAAGCCCUAGAUGACUCAUUUGUUUAUCAUAGUUGAAGCAGAGAGAGAUUUAUAUGUGUGUGAGGAAAAAGAAUAAGGACUGUCCCAUCAAGCUCCUGCAGAGAUGCCGGAUAACGUGAGAGCCCUAGCACACAACCCUGUGGCACAGCAAAAGGAUCCUGAGUUUUGCUUUAAUGGACUCUUAAGUUUUUUUUUUUGUUUUUUUUUUGUUUUUUUAUUAUUAUUAUUUGUUCAUGUGCUGUCUCAGAGCGCAUCCAUACGUUCUGUCUUGUACGAGUUCAGUGCUUUGUGAUUUGUAUCACAAUUGUUUUAUUCGCUGCAUAAAAAGGGAGGUUCAUCUUAUGAAGACACCAUAAUCCACAAGUCUGGUUUGGUUAGGUGCAUGCUGUUUACAAGCAUCACACGUAUGUACAAAUUGUAUUUAUUUCCCAUAAAGAUUUCAGGUGCAAUUACAGAUUUUAGUGUUUAUGUUUACCGUUUGCUUCACAGAGAGAACAUAUAUUGGUACAGUACAGACUCCAGAUGGGAUGUGACUGUACAGCAGUUGUGUCUUUUUUUACGAAUGUCUGUCUCCGUUAGGUCCUUACUUAAUGUUUUACGCACAUCUUCAAUUUUGGACUGUAGAAACCUCCUUUUUUUUUUUUUACCAUCAACACUGUUCUUCAGUAUCUGUGAGUGUCAGGCUAGUUAUUAGGUUUCAGUCUGCUUGCCCUGUGCAGGGCCCCAGGUGUUUUUUGCAGUGCCUUCUUGGCAUGUGGCGCAACCCAAACUUAGGCUUUUCGUAUCUGUUCCCGUACUAAUUUUUGACCAGCAUCGUCUCCUCUUUGCCAAGUGUGCUGUAGAGGGAGAGAGAGAGAGAGAGAGUGGGGGCGCAGGAAAAGAGGAAGGGUCUAUUCUGGGACUCCCCUGAUUUAAUCUGCUGCAGCUGCUAAAAUGCCACACAGAUAAGCACAGAGUUGAUUUAUAUCAUUCAAAUAAAUAUAUAAAUUAGUUCUUGAGUUAUGUUUUGGUACCCACAGUAAAUAAAAUGUAACUUCUGCAACGUAGUGAACAAACAGCACAAUACGAAGGUACGAAAGCCCAAUUUUGUCUGUGUAAAUCUUUAUGCAUGCUCCUGGCAAUCAACAACAUAAAAACAGCCACAACAUUUCAUUAAUAUUUUAUUUAUAAUGAAUUAUAUUUAAUAUUUUAGUAUUACCAAUCAGCUGCUCUUUGUUCCAUGAUUCUCUUCUCUCAGUCCUGCUUUGAUCAGGUUGUUCUUUCAGGAAGUGGAGAAGUGGUACAGUUCAUCGAACUGUGCUUCAUGACUGAUUUCUGCAUUGUUCUCUAGUAUAUUUUUUCAAAGGAGUGAUAUGCACACUACUCAAUCUGCAACUUUGGGUUCAUUUGUCUUGGUUGCAUAAGUUUAACAGCCUUCCUUUUUUUUUUUUUUUUUUAAAUUUCCCUGUUACUGCACAUUGUUUUAAAAGACAAAAUCAAAUGUGAAACUUGUGACAAAGAAAAAAAAAUGCAAAAACAGUGUAUGGUAUGGUCUUCAUUGUUAUUCUGUCAGUGGUACGAAAGUGAACUUUGUUGUCUGGUAAAAGGAUCCAUUCCUCAUGGAAUUACCAAAGCAAGUCUUAACUAGCACAGAUUGGCCAUUAAAACUCAGCUGUGGCUCUGUGAAAACAAGGUUUUACCCAAUGUCCAAAACUAUAUCUAAAACCCAAAAUUGCCUCAAUGUGGUAAAUGGGACAUAAAAAAGGGUACAGGUUAGUCUUUUUCUGGCUAAUGUUAGCAUAAUAUUUGUAGCUGUGAAAAUGAUCUCUAAGAGUUACACUGAAACAUAAAAGCUUUAAAUCAGCCAAAUUCUUAAACUCUACAUAAAUGUAUUUGAUAUCAGACUUUUGCUAUUGUAUGUGAUCAAGCUGACUGCUUUUUGCCAUGAUUUUCAUUGAUUAGUACAGUUGUGCAGUGGUACAGCAUUACUAUGUUUUUUCCCCUGAUUUUUUUAUUUUGUUUUAAUAGCUCAGAUAUUUUCUUUGAGAAUGUUUUUUGAAAGGCAAUUCUUUCAUUUGGCAUCAUUUGAAAAUCAAAGAGAUGGGAAGUUUGUGCAUCCCCUUGUCAGUUUUUGUGUAUUUGUCAAACCUCAUUAGUAUGCUUUGGUACAUUUGUGUUAUGUUCGCUAUUGUUUUUGACGUGUAUGCUUGACAGACGACAAAGUUCAGGUGUUGAGUCUGAGAAAAUACAAAAAAGGAAAAUCUUUUUAUGGUUGUGUCCAUGUGUACAUAUUGAUGCUUUGAUUUUUUUUUUUUUUUUCUUCUUUUUUUCCUGCAGUUGAGAGACAUUUCCUUUUUCCUCUGGUGGGAAAAAGAGAGUGAAAGCAGGCAAAUCAUUUGAGCAUUGCUUAGUGUUUGUAUUUAUCUUUUUUUGCUUUCAAUAGAGCUAUUACAAUAAAAAAAAGUUCCUGUGA